AUUCAUAAGAAGCCUCGGAGUUGUAGGCUAGCAUAAGCCAUUGCACAUUUUAUGCACAAUUUUACCCAAUCAAUAGUACAAUUCUUAUAAGGACAUCAUCGAACACCAUGAUUAGCGUUGAUACUACUUCCCGACAUUACUAACAUCAUCGCAACAAGAAUAUAAACAAAAUAAAUUCCUUGAUACCAUUCUUGUUACCAACUAAAACCCGAUUAAUAUUUUCAAUGUUGUUAUAGUCCUUUAAACAAAAUACCCUCACGAAAAAGUAAAAAGAAAAAAGAAAAAAAAAGUAGUGAAAUAAAAUACAUUAAUGCCCUCAUUAUAACUUAACUCCAAAGCCUAAACAAAGAGGGCAAAGUUGACAAUUACCUCAAAUUCCCUCUUUAAAAUAGCAGAAAGGGGGCAUAAAUUAGGGUUCAUACGAUUGAAUGAGGCAGGAAGAGGCCAUGGGAGUUUCCCGAGGACCGUUUUGCCCCUCUUCCAUGAUAACCACCGUCUACGGUGGUCAUCUUUAGCCGAUGAUUUCUUCUACCACCAUUAAAACGGCCCUCAAAGCGGGAAAUACAACUGAUAUUUCUUCAUUAUUACUCCGUAUUUUAUUACUACUCCAUACUACGUACUACAACUACAAGUAUACGCCUUUUCUUCUUCUUCUUCUUCUUCCCCUUUUCACUCUCAAAAAAAAAAAAAAAAUGUUAAGGACCCUUUGAGGCUGUGAUGAAUUUGAAUCUAAAGUAAUCAAAUUCAAUUUGGUUUUCUGGGUUUUUCUUGGAAAUUGAUUUUCUUUUCCAAUUGGUUUGGCAGCAACUUCAGGGUUUUGUUUGCCGCCAUUUGUGUAAUUGAUUUUCUCUUUCUGGAAAAUUAUCCCCCAAACUGUUUGAUGAAAUGCAGAUCUGAGCCUCCUCCAUUGAAGCGCACUCUGAGUUCUCCGUUAAAGCGGCUUCUGAGCUUUCUCUCACUCCAUUGAAACAGUUUUUGAGGUAAGAUGGUUUUUGUUUGUAAUCAUUGAAUAUCAAUUUCCCAUUGAAGCGCAUUCAACGUUCUCCAUUGAAUCUACUUCUGAUAUUUCUAUCUUCCAUUGAAGCAGCUUCUGAGGUUAAGUUGUUGUAAUCAUCGAAUAUCAAUUUCACAAUCUAGGGUUUAUCGUUGAUUUAAUAUUAAGAUUGAGGCAGGGAGAGGUCAUGGGAGUUUCCCGAGGACAGUUUUGCCCCUCUCCUUAGACGACCACCGUUAACGGCGGCCGUUUUUUGCCGGUGAUUUCUCCGACAACCGUUAAAACUGUCCUCAGCUCUAACCAACUGUCUAUCUGUCUGUGAACUGUGAGUUGUGAACUGUGAUUGUAACUUUGCAGUCUGCAUGCACCUUAAUCUUAUGAACCACCAACAUUUAUCAAUCUUUAGAGGCUAUGAUGAGUUUAAACUGUUCAAAGUAGUCAAAUUUAAUCCGGGUUUGUAGAAUUUUUCGAGGUUUUUGAAUGAUUUUUCCCAUUUGGCUUGGCAGAAAGAUCAAAUGUUGGUUUGUUUACGAAGAUCAAAGCUAGUCUUCAACAUGAUGCUUAACUUGCAUUUUCUCAUUUAUUUUAUUUUAUUUUUAUUUUGUGGGGUUGGUUCAGUUGGAAUUUAUUUGUGUUCGAUUUGAUUGAUUUGCCGCCAUGGUUGAUUUUCCCACCUCGAAAUUUUCCACCUGAUUGUUUGAUGAAAUGAGGGUCUGAGCCUCCUCCAUUGAAGUGUACUCUGAAUUCUCUAUUGAAGCGCCUUCUGAGCUAUCUCUCACUCUCUCCUUCAUUAGCGUACUCUGAAUUCGCCGUUGUAAUGUGUUGUGACUUAGUAAGCUUUCUCUUUUCUAUCGGAGGAGCUUCUGAGGUAAGAUGUUUUUCUUAAUCAGUGAAUAUCAGUAUUCAUAAUCUAGGGUUUGUCGUUGAUAAUACCAAGAAUGAGGCAGGGAGAGGUCAUGGGAGUUUCCUGAGGACCGUUUUGCCCCUCUCCUGAGAGGACCAUUGUUUACAACGGUUGUCUUUCGCCGGUGAUUUAUAUGGACACUAUUAAAACGGUCCUCAAACCAUCGGAUGCCAGAACCUUAGCUGCUUUAUCUGUCUCUGUGAGCUGUGACUGUAUAACUCUGCUGACUGCAUGCUCUUGAUCUUCCAACACCAAAAAUCACCAACCAUUAGAGGCUGUGAUGAGUGUAAACCGUUCAAAGUAGUCUAAUUUAAUUUUGGUUUGGAGAAUUUUUUUGAGGUUUUGGGUAAUUUUUUCCAUUGGCUUGGCAGAAAGAUCAAAUAUUCCAAUGUUACAAAUAAUAUGAAGCGGAGGUAGUAUUAUUUUUGUUUUGUGGUUUUUUUUGGUUGGAAUUUGGAAAUUAUUUGUUCCAAUUUGAUUGAUUUGCCGCCAUGGUUGAUUUUCCCACCUCGAAAUUCUCCACCGGAUUGUUUGAUGAAAUGUGGAUCUGAGCCUCUUGUUUGAGAAAAAUAAAAUGGAAGCUGCAUUGUUGAAAUUUGGUAAUACUUCUACAAUUUUACAAUUUUUUUUAAUUGUUUGUUGUUUUGGGAGUAUAUGACGUGAAGAUUAUAUCAAUAUCAAGAUUAUAUUGAUAAAAAGACAUGAACUGUUUGAUGCAUGUGAUUUUGGAAUUUUGAUUUGAGAAAGUUUUGAAAAUAGAAAUGAGUAAUAUAUUUUGGGAAGGAGAGAGUGGUUGAUUAUUGAAGGGGGAAGCUUCUGCUAUUGGCUUGGCAGCACAAAGCCUACGAGCUUUGCUUGGCUUGCCGCCUUAGUAUUGAGCUGAUACCGUAUCUAAGCCUGUCUAUCAAACACGCAACCUUCUGAAUUUCAUUCCAAUGCUCUGCAACUGAAUUUUUAACUUUUCAUAUCCUAGCAUUUCCUUUUUUCAUGGUAAUGUCUUUUAAGACAAUUAUUGGAGGCAGUGAAGACUUUUUGGGGUAUAUUUCCAUUAUUUUACACUAAGGCUUUGUUUUUUUAGUUUUGUUGAUGACAAUUGAAGUAGUGCUAUCUUAAAUGGAGAGGUAUGUGGAUUUUGUGGGAUCAGAGGGCAAAGCUGAUUUUUCAUCAACUUGACUUGAGAGUUUCCAGUUGACAAAGAUGAAUUCGAAGCUUGUGAGUCUAGUGUCAUUCAAAAAACUAAUUGGAGGCAGUGAUGGCUAUUAUUAGACUAAAGGCAUGUUCUUUUCACCUAAAACUUCCACUUGUCUAGUCUUAUUUUUCUUAUCUGAACGUGCAUGUACUUAAUAGAUGUGGAACUGAUUUUCUUAAGGUAAAAAAGUGGGGAUUGCGGUAAUCAGGCUUCAAGAGAAGGCCUGGAGGGCGUUGCAUGUGCUUGGCAGGGCAGCAUAUGGAAACUCUUAACUUGAGUUUUGCUUGCUUUGCCAUCAUUGAUUAACUAGGGACUAUUUGAAAAAUAAUUCUAUAGAAAAGAACAGUGUCUUUCAUUGCCUGAUGAAGGCCAAAUCUGAGCCUCGUUGUUUCUCCCUUUUUUGAAAAGAAAAUAUCUGAUUUCAGGGGGUGGUUCUAACAGCCCUUCUACUGGUUUAGUGGCAGAGGUAGAGGUAUUCUCACUUUCUUUUAUGUCUUCCUUUGACGUCAUGGUAUCCACCACUAGUUUCAGUGUAACGUAAUAUUGGCAAGGCAAAGUGGGGUUUGCUAUUUCUGCUGUGCUACGAUAUCAACUUUACCCUAGAGAGUAGAGAGCCUCUACCCUCCUUAUGGCAAGGCAAAGUAGGGAGUAGAAGGUUUUGCAGCUGUGUGUCACCAUGAUAGCAGAGUGGUAUAUUUCUGUAGACCUUCGUUCCAAACUUGGCACCAUAGUGGUGUUUCAUGCUUUGCCAGCACCAUACUGCGACUGUGGAACUGUCAAUCUGCAUCAUCUUCAAUUUGUGGCAUGGGGAUAAAGUGUUUGCAGCUGAAACAAAUCAGCUUUUUAAUUUUCAGCGUUCAGGGGGUGAUCAAGUAUUCAAGUGGCAGCAUUUUAAUUAUUUGUUAAUUUUACCCUAAGCCUUUUGAAAUUGUUUUGUGCUAGGUAUUUAACUAUUUUUCUGUAAUGAAAAUCGCUGAACUGUGUUGUAAUUUUGUUGGUUAAUAAGACAAUUACUCUUGAAAUGC